UACGGGGGGAGCAAGCGUUGUUCGGAUUUACUGGGCGUAAAGGGCGCGUAGGCGGCGCAACAAGUCACUUGUGAAAUCUCCGGGCUUAACCCGGAGCGGCCAAGUGAUACUGUCGUGCUAGAGUACGGAAGGGGCUACUGGAAUUCUCGGUGUAGCGGUGAAAUGCGUAGAUAUCGAGAGGAACACCUGCGGCGAAGGCGGGUAGCUGGGCCGACACUGACGCUGAGGCGCGAAAGCCAGGGGAGCGAACGGG
rnacentral:rRNA from 1 species